rnacentral:lncRNA from 1 species
CUUCUAUCACAAUAACCAGUUAGAUGGAACCAACCACUGGAUCUACAGCACUGGAGCAAACUCCUCUUCAGGAACCACUUCUUGAAUUUCAACUUCCUUUUUUGGGAGCUCUACACGAAAUGAUAUGAAUAUGAAUGCUUAUGCUUUUGUAAUUUGCAACGAAGAUAGCAAAACAACUCUCUAGACUAUACCAAAAUCCAUGGUCUUUUAUGUAAACUUGUUUCUUCACCAACUAAUUCCUUUCAUCCACUAACCGCACCACUAUGAUUCACACGCACAUCACAAAGCCCAAGCUGAUGGUGUGAACCACAAGCCAGCUAUAAACAGUCGCGAACAAUCUUUCCUGGGACAUAAAACUAUGCUACCGAUUAAUCCAAACACACACGCAACCAUGCCAGUAGAGAUCAAACAACCAGUUCAAUGAGUUUCACCCGUAAGUAUAGAUACUAGAACACUACACAGAAACCAUGGAAUCGUACCGUGUUAUCCCAACUACGGGAGGGCAGGAACAACCCCGGGCAUGGUCACCACAGCCAGUGGCAAGUAUGUUUCCAACAAAACCAAGGGUACCAGAUGGCUGAGAGGUGUUAGGGGUGACGUGGGUGUAGAUGAGUAGCAAGGCACAUAGGGGAAACCAGGAAAUCGUCGAGAGCACAAGCAAUUCAGUUUGGGCUCCAAACUAGCAUAACAAGAGGUGGCUUGAUGGAGGUCGGGCUGGGGCUAUUUCAGAGGGGAAAUGAGAAUUAACAAUCCCCAACACACACCUGCAUGUCUACCACGCAAGAUGGAAGCACAGGGGAAAAGUCUAGCACACCUUUACUGCAUGUAUGACACCUCAUCAACAGUGAAGCAGUUGAAUCAUCCAAGAGAUAGGCUUUACACCCUUCCUGCAUCUAUCCUUGGGGUGGUGAAUUGAUGAGGACAUCACUUCUAUACAUACAAUGAAUGCACGACAGCUAAAUCUCCAGGUACGUUCUACCCUAGUCAAUUGUGUUUCAGAGCUUACGCUUGGGGCCAUGGAUGUUUUGAUGAUUAGGAACCUUGGAGAGGACCAGAAAGGACUUGGGAAAGGCCUAGAGGAGGAGGAGCAAGGGCGCCACAAUAGGAAGAAGAUCAAGUCCGACUCGGCUGCGACUCCAUCUCGGGUUCCAGGACCAGUCUGCACUAAAAUGGACGCCCAAGAUGCAUCUGGACUCCGAUUGCAACAGACUUGAUAUGGUUGGAAAGAUAAGGAGAUUAUCUAACCAACCCAACUGGUUCCACCCUAAAAUUCAUCCGGAAUCAACAGGAAUCGUCGAAACAAGUCAGCGUUCAGAUUCUGUUUUGGUGCUGCGACACCGUCUGUUGGGCCGUUGGGCCGUGUAUCGCGUCGGAGCCCAUUAGGGGUGAGUCCAGGGGUCAUGCACGCCCUAAUACUCUAUUUAUUCAGCAGCUGCCGCCAUAUUAGUAGGGUUGGGUUUUGCUUAAGUUUAGAUCUGUCAAGAACAGUCGUCGUAGAUCGGUUUGUGAGACCCCAACUUGUGAGCUUAAUUUUUCAUCCGCAAUAUUCUAGAUUGUGUUCUUUCUUGUUCUUGCUUGUGUCUUUGAUUCCCAAGCAGGAAUUAGCCCUCGUGGCGAGGUCAAUCGCGCAGUGCACGGUUGAUAACCAGAGGAGAAGUGGUGCUGCGAUUACGGGGUUCUAGUCGUGUUGAUUGGAAGCCGGAUCGUUUGUGUGACAUCUCCACCAAAUCGAUAGUUACCUUCACCUGACGGAAGAUCGGGCACCCCUGUUCCUAUCAAGUGGUAUUCAAAGACUCAGGUAUUACCGUCAGGCUUACCCUAGUUUAGUUUAUGUUUUUUUAAUCCUAUAACUCUAGAUAAUUGCCAUACAAAAAAAAAUUCGCUGUCCUAUAACCCUUGUUUAGCCUUUGCAAUUUCGUUUUCAGUUUGGCUUUGUUCAGUUCGUGUCCGUGGUCGAGUCGAGUUGCUGGUUUAGGGUGUAUCUUCGUCGUAGAUCAACUGCCCUCGCUAGCCACUAUCCCAUCCACCACUACCCAGAUCACACGUCGAUCCACCCAUUAAUCGACUUGCCCUCGCUAGCCGCCGCCGUGCCAGCCCUAGAUAGAUUGCAGAUACGCCGCUAUCCCAUCCACCAUUACCCAGAUCACAAGUCGAUCCACCCCAUUAAUCGACUUGCUCUAACCGUUGUGAUUGCAGAUAGGGAAUUUUUUGCCCUAACCACCGCUUUCUAGUCGUGCCUCCAAAAACAUAACUUGAGGUACCUUCCUUAAACCGGGCAUAACUUUUCGCUCGGGUGUCCAAAAAAUCUGAAAUUUUUACAGGAGCUUGUUGACACCAUUCUGAGGCCAGCCAAACUCGCCUACGGCCUGUUUGGUUUUGAUAAAAUUGUCAAAAAAAUUCAGGAAAAUAAAGAAAAAACUUUGUCAAAGCUCUUGCACGCUUUUCAGAGAACUUGCUCAUUUUCUGUAGACCACAUCUGAUCUCUGAUUUAGGUGAAACUUGGUGUAGCUCCUAUUUUGUUGCUUCUUGUGCUGACAAAAAUAUCAAAAAAUCAUACAAAAAAGAAAAGCAAAAUUACCAUUGAAUCCUACUAGUGCCUUUUUGGCAUCGCGAGUACAACAUUUACGGUACUGCCAUUCUGCUAUUUCCAUUGUUCUUUGUUCCAACUUGUUGUGAUAUGCCUCGGAUACAUCUCUUAGCCAGCAAUUGUGACUUGUGCUUUGGAUAUUUAUUGAACUUCGCUCAUCUGCACUCGAUUUUGUUUCACAUUCACAUACAUAUUGUGCUUGUCCUAUAGCUCCACAUACUAUAUCUUCUGAUCAAUACAGAUUUGACCUUGCAAUCGCGGUUUCACUAUCUCUUGGUAAGUAUCACGAACCAACCUCCGAUUGUACCAUCCUUUGCUUGUAUUUCGUCAAACACUUGUAAGAGCUUGGUAAGAUACAUUAAAGUGUGUUCCUGUGUUAUACCUGAGAGGAGCGUGUAGUGAAAUUAUUAGGGAUAACCGUCACCGUUUGUUUCCUGUUUUUGUGUUUUGAUGGUAGGCGACGAAGAAGAAGCAAGGAUCCCUACAGACUUCGAUGAAUGUGUUAGCCGCCAAGAUCUUGAGGCAAAAAACAAUCUCCUGAAGGAGCAAAUGGAGGAGACGGUCCACAAGUCAGUGCAUGAUGCCUUCAUUGACAUGAACCUUGGCAAGACUUACGAGAGGUUGGAUCGACGAUUGUCCCAGAUCGUCGACAGACUUGCUGUGUUGGAGACGCAACAACAAGCACCACCACCACCACCUCCUCGUCCACGACUUCCCGAUGAUGCGGUGUUUGAUGAAGAAGGUAAUUAUGAUUAAGCGGCCACCAGAGAUUUGCGCCUACGUCGCCGCCUUCAUCAAAACAUAGAAGGUAUGCCACACCAACACCGCCAGCAAGGUAAUAACAAUUACCAUCUUUUUCGGGUCAUUAUGAUGCUGAGGGAUAUCUUGAUUGGGAGAUGACGAUAGAACAGAAAUUUGCUGCCCACCUUGUACCCGAACAACAUCAAGUUAGACAAGCCACUAGUGAAUUUAAAGAUUUUGCUAUUGUCUGGUGGACUGGUCUAGUUGGGGAUGGUAGAGCACCUACGACUUGGGAAGAUCUUAAGGUAGCUAUGCGCGGUAGAUUUGUUCCCCCAUCUUAUCAUAGAGAAUUGCGUAAGAAAUUGAUGCGUUUAGAGCAAGGGGAUAAAUCUGUUCAAGAUUAUUAUGCUGAGCUUCAGAAGGGAUUGCAGCGUUGUGGGAUAGUAGAGGGACAUGAGGACGCUCUUUGUCGUUUUUAUUCAGGUUUGCGGCGUGACAUUCAGGACAUUGUGGAUUACAAAGAAUUUAACAUUGUCAACAAGUUGUUCCAGUUUGCUAUGCUUGCAGAGAAGGAAUUGCAGGGACGCCAACAUCGACCUAGGGCUACUUUUGGCGCCUCCUCUGCACCACGGAUGCACACACCUGCCUCAAGUCAUACUCCCUCGACACCUGCUGCACACGUUGGUAACCUUCCUUUGUAGGUACCCACCAAGAAACAGAAUUCACCAGCACCUGCAACACCUUCCAGUGGUCGUUCUUCGGGUAUUGUUUGCCACCGCUGUCAUGGAAUUGGUCACGUGAAGAAGGAUUGCCCGAGUCAGCGAACAUACAUUGCUACGGAUGAUGGCUACAUUAGUGCUUCCGACGGUGAGGGUGAUGAUGAUGACUCCAGUGAUGUUGCUGCUAAUGAUGAUGUCAUGCUUGGUGCUGAUGCUACGGUGAACCUUCGAAGCAUCAUGGUGCAGCGUGUUCUUAGUUCUCAGCCUGAAUCAUAAGAGAAGCAGCAACGCAAUAAUUUGUUCUAGACUUUCUUCUCCAUCGAGAAUCGGCGUGCACGUGUUAUUAUUGAUGGUGGAAGCUGCAAUAAUUUGGUGAGUUCAGAUUUGGUCAAGAAGCUUGGCUUGACCACACGUCCACGGCCACAUCCAUACCACAUUCAGUGGAUCAAUGAUUCAGGCAAGGUUAAGGUAACACACAUGGUACGAGUGCAUUUCUCCAUUGGUAUGUAUUCUGAUUAUGCGGAUUGUGAUGUAGUACCUAUGGAAGCUUGUUCUCUUUUGUUGGGUAGACCUUGGGAAUAUGAUACUGAUGCAUGUCACCAUGGUAGGAGUAAUACAUACACUUUUAGGCAUAAAGAUAAAAACAUUACUUUGCUACCUUUGACUCUUACUGAAAUUGUACAAGCUGAUAAAGAUAGAGCUGCAAGUACCCAUAAGGAACCAACUAAUGAGACAGAAAUUCAGCAACAAAUUAAAUUGAAAUCUCCUAUCAUGCUUGCUACUAAAUCUUAUCUUCUUGAAACUCAUGCUACUGAUGCUUGUUGCUAUGCCUUGGUUUGCAAAGAUGCUUUUCUUUUCUAUUGAUGAUAUUGCUAGCAUUUUGUCUACAUUUGUGACUAAUCUUUUGUAGCAGUUCCGAGAUGUUUUUCCCUCUGAGUUACCUCCAGAACUUCCUCCCAUUCGUGGGAUUGAGCACCAGAUUGAUUUGAUUCCUGGAGCGAGCUUGCCCAACCGUGCUGCUGGACCAUUUAAAAUUUUCGAGAAGAUUAAUGACAAUGCAUAUAAACUUGAGUUGCCCCCAGAGUUUGGGAUUAGUCCCACCUUUAAUAUCAGAUUUAAAUCCAUAUUUGGGAAAAGAAGAUGAGCUUGAGUCGAGGGCGACUCCACUUCAAGAGGGGGAGGAUGAUGAGGACAUGGAUGUGUUUCCCUCUGAGAUACCCCCUGGAUUACCACCUGAGUUGCCUCUAGAUUUUCGGGUUAGUCCCACCUUUAACAUUUCAGAUUUGAAGCCAUAUAUGGGUGACGAAGAUGAGAUCGAGUCGAGGACGACUCCAAUUCAAGAGGAGGAGGAGGAUGAGGACAUCACUUCUAUACAUACAAUGAAUGCACGACAGCUAAAUCUCCAGGUAUGUUCUACCCUAGUCAAUUGUGUUUCAGAGCUUACGCUUGGGGCCAUGGAUGUUUUGAUGUUUAGGAACCUUGGAGAGGACCAGCAAGGACUUGGGAAAGGCCUAGGUGUUGAGGAGGAGCAGCAAGGGCGCCACAACAGGAAGGAGAUCAAGUCCGACUCGGCUGCGACUCCAUCUCGGGUUCCAGGACUAGUCUGCACUAAAAUGGACGCCCAAGAUGCAUCCAGACUCCGAUUGCAACGGACUUGAUAUGGUUGGAAAGAUAAGGAGAUCAUCUAACCAACCCAACUGGUUCCACCCUAAAAUUCGUCCAGAGUCAACGGGAAUCGUCGAAACAAGUCAGCGUUCAGAUUCUGUUUUGGUGCUGCGACACCGUCUGUUGGGCUGUGUAUCGCAUCGGAGCCCAUUAGGGGCGAGUCCAUGGGUCAUGCACGCUCUAAUACUCUAUUUAUUCAGCAGCUGCCGCCACAUUAGGGUUGAGUUUUGCUUAAGUUUAGAUCUGUCAAGAACAGUCGUCGUAGAUCGGUUUGUGAGACCCCAACUUGAGAGCUUAAUUUUUCAUCCGCAAUAUUCUAGAUUGUGUUUUUUCUUGUUCUUGCUUGGGUCUUCGAUUCUCAGGCAGGAAUUAGCCCUCGUGGUGAGGUCAAUCGCGCAGUGCAUGGUUGAUAACUAGAGGAGAAGUGGUGUUGCGAUUGCGGGGUUCUAGUCGUGUUGAUUGGAAGCCGGAUCGUUUGUGUGACAUCUCCACCAAAUCGAUAGUUACCUUCACCUGACGGAAAAUCGGGCACCCCCGUUCCUAUCAUGAUUUUUGACAAUAAACUUUCCAUUCUCAUAAGUCUCUUUUGGGCUGGCAUAUCCUAGAAUUCCCUAUAUCAAUUUGGUGGAUGGAGAUACUUUCAUCAGAUUAUUCUAAAACUGCUCCUGCUGUUCUACUCGACUGAAACCUCAAGUUCAGCUCCCCUUUUUAUUACCUCAAAUAACCAGCAAAGAAACUUUAAUGCCCCCAACACACAAAUAUCACUUGGUCCAAAUCUGCAGGUAGUAGAUAUCUGCAGAUAGUAGACAAAACAGAUAUGAUCUCUUUUGUCCACAUCUCCCAAACAAUCCAAAACUAGAUAUUUUGAAGCAGAGCUGAAGUCACUAGAUCCUUGGUUUUGCACCCCACCCGUAUCCCAACUCGAGCACACCAGUGGAGCACAGGAAAGGGAGAAAAAUCUUCCUCAAUUUCCUAUCCCAAACACUGAAUCAACUUCCCUGACAUCAGUGUCCCAUUGCACAGCUCCCAGUUUGGUCUACUUUAUCUCACAAACUUCCUCAACAACGGCCCCUUCUUCCCUAAUAAAAAGUACUCUAAAAUCAUUGCUCUUCCACUUUGGUACAAUACCCCUAGGCUGAAACCACAUAGAACAAAAAUUAUGGGACACAAAAGUAGAGCAAAAACACUAAGAGGUUCAGUUUCAGCUGAAGUGAAACAGUCCCCCAGACAGUCUGACAGAGGAAGUUUAGGUGCAUUUUACUCUAAAGUUUGUUAAGCACCAAGUCAGACCCACAUAACAAAACUUGUACUUCUUUACUUGGUCUCCAACCUUGUUACAUAGUUCUUAGCCUAACACCUGGUGGAAUGGUCACAAAAGUGUUCCCAAACUGACACCAAACAGUGCAACUUCAGUUUUCAGGCACUGAUUGAAAUUCAGUUUCUGUAACUGACAGUCCCAGUUUUAAGCAACUAUUACUCCACUUUUCAUGCAGUACAAAGUCAACCUUAUUUAAGAAAACUUGUUCACUAUUGUAUGGUCUUCCAUUUUACUAUAGAAACCAUAGUCCAUAACCCCAUAGAUUAGCCACAAGAAAGCUCCGAAGUUGAGCAAAACUCACUGAAAAUCAGUUUUAGAUAACUGAAUCAAGUCUGAAAUUAAAGUCUAACAGCAUGUUUUGGAACACCAUUUUCUCCCUGUUCUAAGCAUAUUCAAGGGCAUGAUCCUUACCAAGGGUUACUUCCCCAAUAUUUAUCUCCAAGUUUGCUACAGAAACUAGAGCCUAAAAGCACAUGGAUUGAUCACAGAACAAACAUAGUACGAUCGUGUACCUUGCUGGGUUGUCUUGGCCACGACGAGAUGGCCAAACUGACCGGCGUGGUCACUACUGGCAGGCCGAUGGUGUGCCAACACUUGUGCAGAUCAAACCUAAUGGCUGGAAAGAGACUAGCAUCAACUGGAGCACAAGGACUUCCACACUUUUACACUGGUCUUGGGCUAGAAUCCGAAGGCCAGGUGAAUCCUUCACUGAACCAGAUUUUAGAGCCACCAUAUAUAUAGAAAACGUCCCUAGACAUGGCCAACAUGCAGUGAAGCAGUGUGUCUCAGAGCGCCAGCAACAUAUGGACUUCAACACGUGGCUAACAUGCUCUCAUACCCCACCAGUACACAACCUUGGUUAGGACACUGAACCUGGUCCAUUUUCUCAACACAAAUAUCAGUUGGGGAUAUGCUUCAAUAUGUCCAAGAACAGGAUAUUCUUUCCAGCUGAGGGUGGGUUCUAGACCUCAGUUAUACCCUCCACACUUAUCUCAACUAUACACAUACAUGUAUCUCUUUUGUCCCCUACUGCAGACAGCAGACCAACCGAUCAAUUCUCCACUAUUUACUGCUCCAAAAUAGUCCAAAUUAGAUAUUUUUGGUGGAGAGUAGCCUCAAAGUAUCAGUCAUGCACUUCCCCCAUAAGACAGCUUAAUAUGUCAGUGGAGCACAGCAGAGAAAAAGAUUCUUCUUCAGUUACACCUCCACACACUGAAUCACUUCAUCAACCUGCUGCCCCAUUUAAUUCCUCCCAGUUCAAACCCUCUGAUCUUUCAAUUUUUCAUAGCAACAGACCAUGCUCCCUUCACAAAAGUUGUUCUCUAUACAUAGUUCUACCAACUUGGUAUAGAAAUCACAGGUUGAAAAUAUUUAGAGCAAGAGUUAUUGCAAUCCAAAGUUAAGCAAAACACUCAAAAUUCAGUUUUGGAUUUAUUAAACAGCACAAUACUGGGUCUGGCAGAGAGUUUUGUCACCCCUUUUUCUCUAGAUUACACACAGUAACAAGUCAACCCUUUGCAUAAAAGUUGUUCCCCUUCAUAUGGACUUUGACUUUUUUACAGAACUCGUAACCAAAAUCUCCAUAGAUUAAUUAUCAUAGAGCUCCAAACUGGACAACUUGCUGCCAUUCAGGGUUCAGAACUGAAUUAAAAUUCAGUUAUUAACCAACCUGACAAUCCAAUCUUUGAGGAACUAUUUCUGCACUUUUUGUAUGGGAUCAGGUCCACCACCCUAUAAGAAAGUUGUUCCACAUUAUAUGGUCUUCACUUAUUCUACAAACACCACAGCACAAAACCUUAUAGAAUAGCCACAAAUAGGCUUCAAAACUGCUAUCAAAACACUGAAAUUCAGUUACUGUUUCCAAUAUGAAUAUUCAGAAACACAGCAGCACCACUUUGAACCACUCUUUUUCUUGGGUUCCAAUUGUUUCUAGGGGCAAGUUUCUCAGUAAAGUUUAUACUCCUAUAGUUCCUCUACAAGUUUUAUAUAGUGACCAUUAACCAAAGCCUCUUGGAUCCCAAACUACAAUAGCCCAAAGUUUGCUCCAAUUGCUGAAAUUCAGACUGAAUUUCACUGUCUGAAAUCCCCACUUUCAGACAACUCUACUUUAGGCCAGCUUUUCUCUAGGUUCCAAAUAGCUUUAGGGCUAAGUGUAUUAACAAAACUUAUACUCCUCAUGUAUCUCUAUAACUUUGUUAUAAUGAUCAUCUUCAAACAGUUUAUAGAUCCAAAGUUAUGAGGACCCAAAAACAGCUAGUUGAUAUUAUUUUCAGCAAACUUCAAAUCUGAUUCAAAACUGAAUUAAACUUUUUACUCCAACUUUUCCUCUAAAACUUGGAAUUCUCCAUACAUAAAAGUUGUUCAACUUACCAAAAUCUACAACUUUGAUAUAUGGACAACUAGCAAAUUCUCUCUAGAUUUAAAACUCCACUUUUGGGCUAGUUGAGGGUUUCAAAUGUGACUCCUUCUCAUCUAGUGAUUUAUCAACUCAAUCCAUACUCCUAAAAGCUAAGUGACUCCCCUUAAUCUCAAAUUCAACUCUAGUAUAUGAAGCUCAUGUCCAAAGUGUCCUUGGUUUAGGAGUUGUUUUGUUUAUCCACAAUUCCAAGCAAGGUUUUGAAAUCUCACUUAAGGUUUUUAAUGUUAAUCCAGUUCCUCAAUUAAUUCUUCCACUCAACCCACCUUUGAAAGCAAAGUUGCUCUAGGUCCUAAGUCUUACCUUUAAUACUUUAAAUUCCAAGCCAACUUAUUACUUGCUCAAGAGACGACUUCUCUUCCCAUGUCUUAAGCAAAGUUCUUAAUCUGAGCCCUAUACUCUAAUACACAACACCAUAUUCACUGAAAUUUUUUGACCAAGUGGAUGCAUUCUAGGUAUAUCAAACAAGAUAAUGCAGAUGCUUAUGAUGGCAUGUCAGAGUUUUAGUUAACGUAACACCAGGGGUGUUACAGUCUUCCCCCCUAAAAAGAAAUCUUGUCCCGAGAUUUAAAACUCUAGGCUAGGUAAUGGAAAAGAAAAUGUGUCACUGGCUUAUUUCCCAUUACUCCUAUAAGGCAAGGGUGUGUUUCUAUUGGUUUAUACCAGAAAUAAACUACACAAACCUUAGGUUUACAGGGCACUAGAAACUCAGGAACACGCUCUUCUAGAUACUCCUCCGAUUCCUAUGUGGUUUCAUCUUCCAUGGGUUGGUUCCACUGUAGUUUAUGAAACUUGAUAACUUUUCUUCAAGUGACUGAUCCUUUAAAUCCAAUCCUUUCAGGCAGUGGCCGUUUAGUCCAUGGUCCGUUGGAUGGUCAGUGCAAGGCCAGAAAUUGGAACACAUUGAUUCCGCUCGUUCCUGUCCUUCGCUUCAAGGCCUGUCCCUCGGUGUGGUCAGUACUCCAUACUGUCGGGCAGCAAAGCUUACACUUGUUCACUUAUUAUGAUGGUUCACCAGGGCCUCUUUCCUCCUCCCUUUUCUGCUCACUCGUAUGGGAUAUUCCAAGUAGGUUAAAUCUGGUCCAAGGUUAACAUCUGAAAUCUCAAUAACAUGCUUGGGGACUCGAAGACAUUUCUUUAACUGGGACACGUAGAACAUGUUGUGCACUGUUGACAAAUUCUUUGGCAACUGUACCUUAUAAACUACUAGUCCACCAAAUGAACUGAGUUCCAAGGCUUCACGAAUAGGAAAAGGUAGUAUAGAAAAGCAAAGAUAGAUAGCAUGAAUAGGAUGGAUGAAACAUGUACUAAGAUACUAUAUAGGGGGCUUAACUUAAAAUUGUAUGUCAUGAUGCGUGCUCGACCUAUUCGUCCUCACAAUUCUUGCCAACAUAUAGUGGCUUUCAUGCUCUAUGGCAGUGGCAUACCUACACUCCGUCAUUGAAUACAAGUCGCACUUUUCUAGGGUUUUAGUUAGUGUACCUGCAGAAAGUUGCAUUAUAGUUGUGGGUUAGUGGUUAGCAUCCUAAACUAAGCCACCUUAUAGUCCUUAACUUAACCAUAUACUAGUUGCACUUCGAGUAUCAGGAUUUGAUCAUAGAUUCUUAAGUUUUUCCAAAAUAGUUUGGACUCAAAAUCCUUUUGAAGCAUAUCAAAAGAUUACUUUAAUAUCCAUGCUAAUGGGGGAUCGCUCCGAUACCAAUCUGUGGCAGCCCUCCCAAGUUAUCAGGCCCAUAUGCACCAAUCCUUGCCUUGAUGGCCUCAGAUGGCUAUGCACGUGUACCAGGUAACUUAACAAGGCUAUCACGAGUUCAACCACUUGAACUCAUCAUCCCAAGGAUCCUCCACCAUACAUGCAUAUUACAGUAAUCACAUUCGAUACACACACUUCGAAGAUACGAGCGGAAGACUUUACAAACAUUCUUUACCUUUUCAAAACUCAAGUUUCACAUGUUUCGAAAGAGUAAUAUUUAUUACAAGUCCUGAUAUACUCAAAGUGCAUAAGUUAUUACAAAAGCAGGAAGGUAGAAACCCUCCAAAGCUCAUACAUAAACCUAGCUAGUCCUCCUCUAGAACUGGAAACGCCCUCCAGCCACAGGAACAACUAGAGUACUUCUCAUCACCUACAACAACAUGGGUUCGAAAACCCUGAGUACGGAGUGUACUUUUGCAAGUCUUACCCGACUAAGGAAAAAUGACUCCCAAGGAUAUGUUGGUUAAAUAGGAAUCAAGGAAAAGGCUUUAGCAAGAAUCAACUUAGAUACUUUUGCAGAAAUAGCUUACUAAAGUGAGUCCUUACUUUCAAUAUUUUAACACCAGAUUAAAUAUUAAUAAACUCUGGUUGUAUCUAGUCUAAUUUCACCAUCUCAUCAAUACAACAUCAUUUUUACUCAUAAUGUUUACAUCCUUAGGUUGUAGGUCGGAGAUCAAGUCUCCACUCUCCGGGGAUAUAACGGCGAUCCGAAUUGAUUUACUCAGCUGAGGAUCUCUAACCACACGACAUAUGUUUCUCGUAACUCUUGCUUAUGUCUAUCAUUCCCACGGAUCCUCCACUGCAUGAACAGGUCCGCGCUACCCGGGAGCACACCACCCUUUUUAGGCGGUCCUUUGCUAGGAGGGUACGUGCCACUCUCGCCAUCUCUCCACUCCUAGUGCGCGAUUGUCUUUUCAUGUAUGGAAUAGCCGGGUUCAAGCUUACCCUGUCCCAUAUCCAGGGCAUGUGGCCAGUUAAGAUAGUCCUUGAUCAUACAGGCCUACAUACGCAUCCGAUCCUUAAUUAACAUUGGUAGAACAUCACCUGUUCCUAGCCCAAGUCCCGAUUUAAGUACUUCAACCUUAGGAUUGUUUGUGUUCCUUAGGAUGAAAAGAGCAUUAUAGGGAACUUUGCAGUAAGAUCCCACCAUGCUCCCAAUGAAAAUAUUCUUGCAAGUAGAAGUCGUCCUUCCUCAGGAUAACCCCUGAGCUAGGCAUUAAUGCAAAAGACAACCUCUAUCCACAAGAUCUAAGCAGGGCUAAGCAUUUUUUGUAAAUCAUAUUUUGAUACUUCAUCAGAAGUAUCUAUAAAGGUAUGGAUAUCAAGGUAGGCAAUGCAUCCAAUAGUUUCCAAGCAACUCCUAUAAACUUAAUGUACAUUUCACUAGACUUAAAGUGUAUAAAAAUCUUUUAAAAACACAAGGAAGGGGUUGCAUGCACCGGGGCUUGUCUUAUUGCAGGAGAAGAUCCAAAGUCCUUCUAUCACAAUAACCAGUUAGAUGGAACCAACCACUGGAUCUACAGCACUGGAGCAGACUCCUCUUCAGGAACCACUUCUUGAAUUUCAACUUACUUUUAUGGGAGCUCUACAUGAAAUGAUAUGAAUAUGAAUGCUUAUGCUUUUGUAAUUUGCAACGAAGAUAGCAAAACAACUCUCUAGACUAUACCAAAAUCUAUGGUCUUUUAUGUAAACUUGUUUCUUCACCAACUAAUUCCUUUCAUCCACUAACCGCACCACUACGAUUCACACGCACAUCACAAAGCCCAAGUUGAUGGUGUGAACCACAAGCCUAUAAACAGUCGCGAACAAUCUUUCCUGGGACAUAAAACUAUGCUACCGAUUAAUCCAAACACACACGCAACCAUGCCAGUAGAGAUCAAACAACCAGUUUAAUGAGUUUCACCCGUAAGUAUAGAUACUAGAACACUACACAGAAACCGUGGAAUCGUACCAUGUUAUCCCAACUAUGGGAGGGCAGGAACAACCCCGGGCAUGGUCACCACAGCCAGUGGCAAGUAUGUUUCCAACAAAACCAAGGGUACUAGAUGGCAGAGAGGUGUUAGGGGGGUGACGUGGGUGUAGAUGAGUAGCAAGGCACAUAGGGGAAACCAGGAAAUCGUCGAGAGCACAAGCAAUUCAGUUUGGGCUCCAAACUAGCAUAACAAGAGGUGGCUUGAUGGAGGUCGAGCUGGGGCUAUUUCAGAGGGGAAAUGAGAAUUAACAAUCCCCAACACACACCUGCAUGUCUACCACGCAAGGUGGAAGCACAAGAAAAAAGUCCAGCACACCUUUACUGCAUGUAUGACACCUCAUGAACAGUGAAGCAGCUGAAUCAUCCAAGAGAUAGGCUUUACACCCUUCCUGCAUCUAUCCUUGGGGUGGUGAAUUUUUGACAAUAAACUUUCCUCUCUCAUAAGUCUCUUUUGGGCUAGCAUAUCCUAGAAUUCCCUAUAUCAAUUUGGUGGAUGGAGAUACUUUCAUCAGAUUAUUCUAAAGCUGCUCCUGUUGUUCUACUCGACUGAAACCUCAAGUUCAGCUCCCCUUUUUAUUACCUCAAAUAACCAGCAAAGAAACUUUAAUGCCCCCAACACACAAAUAUCACUUGGUCCAAAUCUGCAGGUAGUAGAUAUCUGCAGAUAGUAGACAAAACAGAUAUGAUCUCUUCUGUCCACAUCUCCCAAACAGUCCAGAACUAGAUAUUUUGCAGCAGAGCUGAAGUCACUAGAUCCUUGGUUUUGCACCCCACCCAUAUCCCAACUCGAGCACACCAGUGGAGCACAGGAAAGGGAGAAAAAUCUUCCUCAAUUUCCUAUCCCAAACACUGAAUCAACUUCCCUGACAUCAGUGUCCCAUUGCACAGCUCCCAGUUUGGUCUACUUUAUCUCACAAACUUCCUCAACAACGGCCCCUUCUUCCCUAAUAAAAAAUACUCUCCAAUCAUUGCUCUUCCACUUUGGUACAAUACCCCUAGGCUGAAACCACAUAGAACAAAAAUUAUGGGACACAAAAGUAGAGCAAAAACACUAAGAGGUUCAGUUUCGGCUGAAGUGAAAUAAUCCCCCAGACAGUCUGACAGAGGAAGUUUAGGUGCAUUUUACUCUAAAGUUUGUUAAGCACCAAGUCAGACCCACAUAACAAAACUUGUACUUCUUUACUUGGUCUCCAUCCUUGUUACAUAGUUCUUAGCCUAACACCUGGUGGAAUGGUCACGAAAGUGUUCCCAAACUGACACCAAACUGUGCAACUUCAGUUUUCAGGCACUGAUUGAAAUUCAGUUUCUGUAACUGACAGUCCCAGUUUUAAGCAACUAUUACUCCACUUUUCAUGCAGUACAAAGUCAACCUUAUUUAAGAAAACUUGUUCACUAUUGUAUGGUCUUCCAUUUUACUAUAGAAACCAUAGUCCAUAACCCCAUAGAUUAGCCACAAGAAAGCUCCGAAGUUGAGCAAAACUCACUGAAAUUCAGUUUUAGAUAACUGAAUCAAGUCUGAAAUUAAAAUCUGACAGCAUGUUUUGGAACGCCAUUUUCUCCCUGUUCUAAGCAUAUUCAAGGGCAUGAUCCUUACCAAGGGUUACUUCCCCAACAUUUAUCUCCAAGUUUGCUACAGAAACUAGAGCCUAAAAGCACAUGGAUUGAUCACAGAACAAACAUAGUACGAUCGUGUACCUUGCUGAGUUGUCUUGGCCACGGCGAGAUGGCCAAACUGACCGGCGUGGUCACUACUGGCAGGCCGAUGGUGUGCCAACACUUGUGCAGAGCAAACCUAGUGGCUAGGAAGAGACUAGCAUCAACUGGAGCACAAGGACUUCCACACUUUUACACUGGUCUUGGGCUAGAAUCAGAAGGCCAGGUUGAUGAGGACAUCACUAUGAGUACGACUACACCAGCAGCACCUCCACAUCAAGCGCCACUUCCUUCAUUAGUUGGGCCAAUCACUCGGGCCCGUGCCAGAGAUCUUAACUUCGUCAUGCUACUGAAGAAUGAGGGCCCAGAAGAAUAGACGACCAGCCCAACUGCGGCCCAUAGUGGACAACCUAGGGUUGGCCGCCCCUAGGGGCUGCGCCCCCUCUCUCUAUUUAUCCAGGAGCUGCGCCUCCUUUGUUCUUCGAGUUUUGUUUUACAUCUAGCUUUAGCUACCCCAGAACACGCACAAAUACGUGUUGUCCUCUGUGAUUCAGAACUCCACCUCGAGUGAUAUUAAGAUUGCUCGCAUCUUUUUCUUGUUCGUUCUUCGAUUGCGCACAGGAAACGAUCUUCGUGAUCAGGCCGAUCUCGCAUUAGCAAGGUCGGUAACCAUUGGGAGUUGGUUCAGCGAUUGCAUUGGCGCUUCGGGUUCGCUCGUCGUAGUCGGAUCGUGAGGGUCUACUUGCACCAAAUCGGAAUUAUCUCCACUCACCGAAAGAUCGGGCACUCCAGCUCUAUUAAGUGGUAUCAGAUUUCCAGGUUGAUCGGUGAGUUUAUCGAGUGUUUUUUUUCUCCUACAGUCCACAAAACCACAUAAAAAUUUAGGUUAGACCUUAUCCUAGCACCCUUUUGAGCCUCGCACUUUCUUUCAAUAAUCUGCAUUGUUGAAUUUGUGUGCUUUCAUGUCAUUUGUUACUGGUUGCAUUGUGUUAUUACACCAUUCAAACCCUAGCGCGCCGCCACCAUAUUCCGUUUGAUCACGCCACAAACCGAGUCAACGCCGCUUCCUUAUUUUUCUCCUUCGGUUACGUAAAAAACAGAAAAAAAACAAACCGAGUCAACACCGUUUCCUUGUUUUUCUACUUCGGUUACGUAAAAAAACAGAAACAAAAAAAAGAAAACGAAGGAGAAAGAAUACAAAGCGGUUGUCUCAUCUCGAUCGUUUUAAGCAUACCUUCCUUAAACCGGGCAUAACUUUUCGCUCGAUUGUUCAAAAAAUCUGAAUUUUUUACAGGAGCUUGUUGACACCAUUCUGAGGCCGGCCAAACUGGCCUAUGGCCUGUUUGGUUUCGAUAAAAUUGUCAAAAAAUUCAGGAAAAUAAAGAAAAAAAUUCAUCAAAGUUCUCGCACGCUUUUCAGAGAACUUCCUGAUUUUCUGUAGACCACAUCUGAACUCUGUUUUAGGUGAAACUUCGUGUAGCUCCUAUUUUGUUGCUCCUUAUGCUGAGAAAAAUAUCAAAAAAUCAUACAAAAAAAAAGAAAAACAAAAUCACUUGUGAUUCCUACUAGUGCCUUUUUGGCCUCGCUAGUACAAUAUUUACGGUACUGCCAUUCUGCUAGUUCCAUCCAUCCUUUGCACUUGUGGCCAGCAAUAUAGUUUCGUGUUUUGCACUAUAAUUCAACUUUGCAUUAUUGUUUGAUCGUGCUAAUCCUUGACUUGAGUGCAGCCUACCCAAAACUCCACAUAUUUCUACGACGAGAAGGUUUCUGUUUCUCCAGGCAAUCGCUCAUCCAAUCUUUCACCGGUUCCACCUGUUGGUUGCAGUUCACCACUGUGGCUUGGUAAGAACGGAUAAGAACUUGAUAACAGCAUUCCAUUGAGCGAGUUGUCACCACCAUUUUCCUGUUGUCGUCGGUUUUUCUCCUUUUGGUGUUUUGGUGUUUGUGCUAACUAUGGCAGGAGCACACGACACGGUGGAUGCCCAGUUGCUGGAAGUAAGGGGACAAGUUGAUGGACUUGCUGCUGACAUUAGGACGAUGCAUGAACGGCUUGAUUCAACGGUCAAUUCGACGACCGAGCGUUUCAACCAGCUUGACCUUGCUCAAACGGCGACUCGCACCACACUCGACACCAUCCUGGCACGCCUUGAUGCGUUGACCACAAAGAUGGAGCAGGACUACGGCGGUGAUACUGAGCAGGACGAUGGAGAUCGCCGUGGUCGUGCACGCCGUGUGGUUCGUCAUCCCCCUAAUGACUUAUUUUCUAAGAUUAAAUUUAAAAUUCCACCUUUUAAUGGCAAAUAUGAUCCUACUGCAUAUCUUGAUUGGGAGUUAGAGGUUGAACAAAAAUUUUCAUGCCAUGAUAUUGCUGCACAUUCUCAGGUUAAAGCUGCUAUUAGUGAAUUUAAUGAUUUUGCUUUAAUUUGGUGGCGUGAGUAUAAAAUGAAACAUCCCACUGCCAUUCCAACCACUUGGGAUCAGUUAAAAGCUGUGAUGAGACAUCGAUUUGUGCCUUCGUAUUAUGCUCGUGAUUUGCUUAAUAAAAUGCAGUGUUUUCAGCAAGGUUCUCAAUCUAUUGAGGACUAUUUCCAGGAGUUACAAAAAGGUAUGAUUCGUUGUGGGAUAUUGGAGGACAACGACGCUGCUAUGGCACGUUUUCGUGGUGGUUUAAACCGCGAAAUCCAGGAUAUACUUGAUUAUAAGGAAUAUUAUGAUAUGACUACUUUAUUUGAAUAUGCUUGUAAAACUGAACGUGAAGUGCAGGGACGCCGCUCGAAGCCAUAUUCUAACCCUUUUGCAGGACGAAGCUCGACAUCCACCUCAGCACCAGUUCCCUCUGCGCCAUCCACGUCCACCACUACUCCACGCGAUAAGAUGACCAAACCAGCCAGCAUUGCCCCACCCACAGGUCGUACACGGGAUAUUCAGUGUCAUCGCUGUAGAGGAUUUGGCCAUGUGAUUCGAGACUGCCCAAACAAGCGCACUUUGCUCAUUCGUGACGAUGGUGAGUACUCUUCCGCUAGUGAUUCUAAAGAAAUUGAACAUGCACUACCUGCCACUAACCAUGCAGCUCAGGCGGAGGUACAUGUCAACCCGGGCGACGCUGAUAGGUAUGAAAGUCUUGUUGUGCAGCGUGUUCUUAGUACACAGGUCGCUUUGCCCGAGAAGAAUCAGCGACACACUCUGUUCCAUACAAAGGGUGUUGUGGAGGAGCGGUCAAUUCGCAUCAUUAUCGACAGCGGCAGUUGCAACAAUUUGGCGAGUACCAUGUUGGUCGAAAAGUUGUCGUUACCCACUCGUAAGCAUCCAAACCCAUAUCACAUUCAAUGGCUUAAUGAUGGUGGUAAAAUAAAAAUCACGCGUUUCGUGCGUGUUCCUUUCUCCAUGGGUGCUUAUUCUGAUUUUGUUGAUUGUGAUGUUAUUCCCAUGGAAGCAUGCUCUUUGUUACUUGGUCGACCUUGGUAAUAUGAUACUGAUAGCUUGCAUCAUGGUCGUUCGAAUCAUUAUUCUUUCAUUUUUAAGGGUCAGAAAAUAAUUAUACAUCCAAUGACACCUGAACAAAUUGUUAAAGAUGAUCUUGCCCGAGCUACUAUAACUACUAAACAACUUGAUCCAUCACCCUCUGUUUCUUCUGAAAUCAAGUUGAAGGCUCCUAUUUUACUUGCUACACGUGCUGAUUUUGAUGAUCUACACUGAUGAGAACAUCACUAUGAGUACGACUACACCAGCAGCACCUCCACGUCAAGCGCCACUUCCUUCAUUAGCUGGGCCAAUCACUCGGGCCCGUGCCAAAGAUCUUAACUUCGUCAUGCUACUGAAGAAUGAGGGCCCAGGAGAAUAGACGACCAGCCCAACUGCGGCCCAUAGUGGAUGACCUAGGGUUGGCCGCCCCUAGGGGCUGCGCCCCCUCUCUCUAUUUAUAUAGGAGCUACGCCUCCUUUGUUCUUCGAGUUUUGUUUUACAUCUAGCUUUAGCUACCCCAGAACACGCACAAAUACGUGUUGUCCUCUGUGAUUCAGAACUCCACCUCGAGUGAUAUUAAGAUUGCUCGCAUCUUUUUCUUGUUCGUUCUUCGAUUGCGCAUAGGAAACGAUCUUCGUGAUCAGGCCGAUCUCGCAUCAGCAAGGUCGGUAACCAUUGGAAGUUGGUUCAGCGAUUGCAUUGGCGCUUCGGGAUUGCUCGUCGUAGUCGGAUCGUGAGGGUCUACUUCCACCAAAUCGGAAUUAUCUCCACUCACCGAAAGAUCGGGCACUCCAGCUCUAUCAAGUGGUAUCAAAUUUCCAGGUUGAUCGGUGAGUUUAUCGAGUGUUUUUUUCUCCUACAGUCCACAAAACCACAUAAAAAUUCAGGUUAGACCUUAUACCAGCACCCUUUUGAGCCUCGCACCUUCUUUCAAUAAUCUGCAUUGUUGAAUUUGUGUGCUUUCGCGUCAUUUGUUGCUGGUCGCAUUGUGUUUUUUCUCACCAUCCUUCUUUCUUCCUUGUUUUUCUCCUUCGGUUACAUCAAACCCUAGCGUGCCGCAACCAUCUUCCUUGUUUUUCUCCUUCGGUUACAUCAAACCCUAGCGUGCCGCAACCAUCUUCCUUGUUUCUCUCCUUCGGUUACAUCAAACCGAGUCAACGCCACAAACCGAGUCAACACCGCUUCCUUAUUUUUCUCCUUCGGUUACGUAAAAAAACAAAAAAAACAAACCGAGUCAACGCCGCUUCCUUGUUUUUCUCCUUCGGUUACGUCAAAAAACAGAAACAAAAAAAAAGAAAACGAAGGAGAAAGGAUACAAAGCGGUUGUCUCAUCUCGGUCGUUUUAAACAUACCUUCCUUAAACCGGGCAUAACUUUUCGCUCGGUUGUUCAAAAAAUCUGAAAUUUUUACAGGAGCUUGUUGACACCAUUCUGAGGCCGGCCAAAUGUUUGGGUUUCGACAAAAUUGUCAAAAAUAUUCAGGAAAAUAAAGAAAAAAUUCGUCAAAGUUCUCGCACGCUUUUCAGACAACUUCCUGAUUUUCUGUAGACCACAUCUGAACUCUGUUUUAGGUGAAAUUUUGUGUAGCUCCUCGUUUGUUCCUCAUUGUGCUGAGAAAAAUAUCAAAAAAUCAUACAAAAAAGAAAAACAAAAUCACUUGUGAUUCCUACUAGUGCCUUUUUGGCCUCGCUAGUACAAUAUUUACGGUACUGCCAUUCUGCUAGUUCCAUCCGUCCUUUGCACUUGUGGCCAGCAAUAUAGUUUCGUGUUUUGCACUGUAAUUCAACUUUGCAUUAUUGUUUGAUCGUUCUAAUCCUUGACUUGAGUGCAGCCUACCCAAAACUCCACAUAUUUCUACGACGAGAAGGUUUCUGUUUCUCCAGGCAAUCGCUCAUCCAAUCUUUCACCGGUUCCACCUGUUGGUUGCAGUUCACCACUGUGGCUUGGUAAGAACGGAUAAGAAUUUGAUAACAGCAUUUCAUUGAGCGAGUUGUCACCACCAUUUCUCUGUUGUCGUCGGUUUUUCUCCUUUUGGUGUUUUGGUGUUUGCGCUAACUAUGGCAGGAGCACACGACACGGUGGAUGCCCAGUUGCUGGAAGUAAGGGGACAAGUUGAUUGACUUGCUGCUGACAUUAGGAUGAUGCAUGAACGGCUUGAUUCAACGGUCACUUCGACGACCGAGCGUUUCAACCAGCUUGACCUUGCUCAAACGGCGACUCGCACCACACUCGACACCAUCCUGGCACGCCUUGAUGCGUUGACCACAAAGAUGGAGCAGGACUACGGCGGUGACACUGAGCAGGACGAUGGAGAUCGUCGUGGUCGUGCACGCCGUGUGGUUCGUCAUCCCUCUAAUGACUUAUUUUCUAAGAUUAAAUUUAAAAUUCCACCUUUUAAUGGCAAAUAUGAUCCUGCUGCAUAUCUUGAUUGGGAGUUAGAGGUUGAACAAAAAUUUUCAUGCCAUGAUAUUGCUGCACAUUCUCAGGUUAAAGCUGCUAUUAGUGAAUUUACUGAUUUUGCUUUAAUUUGGUGGCGUGAGUAUAAAAUGAAACAUUCCACUGCCAUUCCAACCACUUGGGAUCAGUUGAAAGCUGCGAUGCGACAUCGAUUUGUGCCUUCAUAUUAUGCUCGUGAUUUGCUUAAUAAAAUGCAGCGUUUUCAGCAAGGUUCUCAAUCUGUUGAGGACUAUUUCCAGGAGUUACAAAAAGGUAUGAUUCGUUGUGGGAUAUUGGAGGACAACGACGCUGCUAUGGCACGUUUUCGUGGUGGUUUAAACCACGAAAUCCAGGAUAUACUUAAUUAUAAGGAAUAUUAUGAUAUGACUACUUUAUUUGAAUAUGCUUGCAAAGCUGAACGUGAAGUGCAGGGACGCCGCUCGAAGACAUAUUCUAACCCUUUUGCAGGACGAAACUCGACAUCCACCUCAACACCAGUUCCCCCUGCGCCAUCCACGUCCACCACUACUCCACGCGAGAAGACGACCAAACCAGCCAGCACUGCCCCACCCACAGGUCGUACACGGGAUAUUCAGUUUUAUCGUUGUAGAGGAUUUGGCCAUGUGAUUCGAGACUGCCCAAACAAGCGCACUUUGCUCAUUCGUGACGAUGGUGAGUACUCUUCCGCUAGUGAUUCUGAAGAAAUUGAACAUGCACUACUUGUCACUAACCAUGCAGCUCAGGCGGAGGUACAUGUCAACCCAGGCGACGCUGAUAGGUAUGAAAGUCUUGUUGUGCAGCGUGUUCUUAGUACACAGGUCGCUUUGCCCGAAAAGAAUCAGCGACACACUCUGUUCCAUACAAAGGGUGUUGUGCAGGAGCGGUCAAUCCGCAUCAUUAUCGACAGCGGCAGUUGCAACAAUUUGGCGAGUACCAUGUUGAUCGAAAAGUUGUCGUUACAAACUCGUAAGCAUCCAAACCCAUAUCACAUUCAAUGGCUUAAUGAUGGUGGUAAAAUAAAAAUCACGCGUUCCGUGCGUGUUCCUUUCUCCAUGGGUGCUUAUUCUGAUUUUGCCCGAGAAGCAUGCUCUUUGUUACUUGGUCGACCUUGGCAAUAUGAUACUGAUAGCUUGCAUCAUGGUGGUUCGAAUCAUUAUUCUUUCAUUUUUAAGGGUCAGAAAAUAAUUAUACAUCCAAUGAAACCUGAACAAAUUGCUAAAGAUGAUCUUGCCCGAGCUGCUAUAACUGCUAAACAACUUGAUCCAUCACCCUCUGUUCCUUCUAAAAUCAAGUUGAAGGCUCCUGUUUUACUUGCUACACGUGCUGAUUUUGAUCAUCUACACGGUGCUCAUUUGCCAUGCUAUGCACUUGUAUGCUCUAGUGUCCUCAUUUCACUUGAUGAUGCACCAUCUUUGGCUAUUCCCCCUAUGGUUGCUAACCUUUUGCAGGAGUACGCUGAUGUCUUUCCCAAAGACUUACCACCGGGUCUCCCACCGCUUCGUGGCAUUGAGCACCAGAUCGACCUCAUCCCCGGCGCACAGCUUCCGAACCGCGCACCGUACCGUACAAAUCCGGAUGAGACGAAGGAGAUUCAGCGCCAGGUACAGGCGUUGCUUGACAAGGGAUACAUUCGUGAAUCUCUUAGCCCUUGCUCUGUUCCUGUGUUACUUGUUCCCAAGAAAGAUGGGUCAUGGCGUAUGUGUGUAGACUGUCGUGCUAUUAAUAACAUCACUAUUCGUUAUCGAUAUCCUAUACCACGCCUUGAUGAUAUGCUAGAUGAGCUUAGUGGUGCCAUUAUUUUCACUAAGAUUGAUUUGCGUAGUGGUUACCACUAGAUUAGAAUGAAACUGGGUGAUGAAUGGAAAACGACUUUUAAAACGAAAUUUGGUUUAUAUGAAUGGUUGGUUAUGCCGUUUGGAUUGACUAAUGCUCCCAGCACUUUUAUGCGAGUGAUGAAUGAAGUUCUGAGGCCCUUCAUAGGAUUGUUUGUGGUUGUUUAUUUUGAUGAUAUCCUUAUUUACAGCAAAUCUAAGAAAGAGCAUUUGGAACAUUUAAGUGCUGUUUUUGAUGCAUUGCGUGCUGCCCAGUUAUUUGCUAACAUGGAAAAAUGCAUCUUUUGCACACGACGUGUCUCGUUUCUUGGUUAUGUUGUUACUCCACAGGGCAUUGAGGUGGAUAGCAGCAAGAUUGCUGCCAUUCGGGAGUGGCCUACACCGACGACGGUCACACAAAUUCGGAGCUUUCUUGGACUUGCCGGAUUCUACUGCAGAUUUGUUCGUGAUUUUAGCUCCAUUGCAGCGCCUCUACAUGAGCUUACAAAGAAAGAUGUGUCGUUUGCUUGGAGUGAUUCGCAGGAGGAAGCGUUCAGCACUUUGAAAGAUAAUUUAACCCAAGCUCCCCUAUUGCAAUUGCUUGAUUUUAAUAAAGUGUUUGAGCUUGAAUGCGAUGCUAGCUGUAUUGGGCUAGGUGCUGUUUUGUUACAAGAAGGAAAACUAGUUGCUUAUUUUAGUGAAAAAAUAAGCGGUGCUAGUCUGAAAUAUUCUACUUAUGAUAAGGAGGUUUACGCUUUAGUGCGCACUUUGCAUACAUGGCAGCACUAUCUUUGGCAUCGUGAGUUCAUAAUUCAUUCUGAUCAUGAGGCUUUAAAACAUAUUCGUACCCAAACAAAUCUGAACCGUCGUCAUGCUAAAUGGGUAGAAUUCAUUGAGUCUUUUCCUUACAUUAUUAAACACAAGAACGGAAAGGACAAUGUUAUUGCUGAUGCUUUGUCUCGUCGCUAUACCAUGUUGUCACAGUUAGAUUUUAAAAUCUUUGGUUUGCACACUGUGAAAGAUCAAUAUGUUGACGAUGCUGAUUUUAAAGAUGCUUUCGGCCAUUGUAUUAAUGGGAAACCAUGGGGCAAAUUUCACAUGCAGGAUGGGUUCCUGUUUCGCGCUAACAAGCUGUGUGUUCCAGCUAGCUCGGUUCGUCUUUUGUUGUUACAGGAAGCACAUGGAGGCGGUCUCAUGGGGCACUUUGGCGUCUACAAGACACAUGAGGUGUUGGCUGCCCACUUCUUUUGGCCUCGGAUGCGCGCUGAUGUUGAGAGCCUUGUUGUACGCUGCACUACUUGUCAGAAAGCUAAGUCACGGUUGAACAACCAUGGUUUGUAUAUGCCUUUGCCUGUUCCUACUUCCCCUUGGAUUGAUAUUUCGAUGGAUUUUGUUUUGGGAUUGCCUAGAACUAAGAAGGGGAGGGAUAGCAUAUUUGUGGUUGUUGAUCGAUUCUCCAAAAUGGCUCAUUUCAUACCUUGUCAUAAGACUGAUGAUGCUAGCAAUGUUGUUGAAUUGUUUUUUAGAGAGAUUAUUCGUUUGCACGGUAUUCCCAAUACAAUAGUCUCGGAUCGUGAUGCUAAGUUUCUCAAUCAUUUUUGGAGAUCUCUGUGGAAUAAAUUGGGAACUAAAUUGUUGUUUAGCACCACUUGUCACCCUCAGACUGAUGGUCAAACUGAGGUAGUUAAUCGAACUUUGUCUACCAUGCUUAGGGCUGUUUUAGACAAAAAUUUGAAACGUUGAGAGGAUUGCUUGCAUCAUGUUGAGUUUGCUUAUAAUCAUGCAACACAUUCUUCUACAAAGAUGUGCCCUUUUCAAAUUGUUUAUGGUUACUUUCCUAGGGCGCCUAUUGCUUUGUUUUCGCUUGAUGCUGCGGACGCCCCACACAUAGAUGUUGUUGCACAUGUUGAACAAAUGAUUAACCUCCAUGAACAAACUCAACAAAACAUUGCUGCUACUAAUGCAAAAUAUCAGGUUGCUAGUAGUAAAGGAAGAAAACUUGUUACUUUUGAGCCAGGUGAUAUGGUUUGGAUGCACUUGAGAAAGGAUCGGUUUCCUACUUUGCAACGUUCUAAAUUAAUGCCUCGUGCUGCUGGUCCUUUUAAGGUGCUAACAAAGAUUAAUGAUAAUGCUUAUAUCCUUGACCUGCCUGCGGAAUUUGGUGUUUCCACUAGUUUUAUUGUUGCAGAUUUGAAACCAUAUAUGGCCGAGGAUGAGGAAUUGCCGUCGAGGACGACUUCACUUCAAGAAGGGGAGGAUGAUGAGGACAUCACUAUGAGUACGACUACACCAGCAGCACCUCCACGUCAAGCGUCACUUCCUUCAUUAGCUGGGCCAAUCACUCGGGCCCGUGCCAGCUUUAGCUACCCCAGAACACACACAAAUACGUGUUGUCCUCUGUGAUUCAGAACUCCACCUCGAGUGAUAUUAAGAUUGCUCGCAUCUUUUUCUUUUUCGUUCUUCGAUUGCGCACAGGAAACGAUCUUCGUGAUCAGGCCGAUCUCGCAUCAGCAAGGUCGGUAACCAUUGGAAGUUGGUUCAGCGAUUGCAUUGGCGCUUCGGGAUCGCUCGUCGUACUCGGAUCGUGAGGGUCUACUUCCACCAAAUCGGAAUUAUCUCCACUCACCGAAAGAUCGGGCACUCCAGCUCUAUCAUACACGGUGCUCAUUUGCCAUGCUAUGCACUUGUAUGCUCUAGUGUCCUCAUUUCACUUGAUGAUGCACCAUCUUUGGCUAUUCCCCCUAUGGUUGCUAACCUUUUGCAGGAGUACGCUGAUGUCUUUCCCAAAGACUUACCACCGGGUCUCCCACCGCUUCGUGGCAUUGAGCACCAGAUCGACCUCAUCCCCGGCGCACAGCUUCCAAACCGCGCACCGUACCGUACAAAUCCGGAUGAGACGAAGGAGAUUCAGCGCCAGGUACAGGCGUUGCUUGAUAAGGGAUACAUUCGUGAGUCUCUUAGCCCUUGCUCUGUUCCUGUGUUACUUGUUCCCAAGAAAGAUGGGCCAUGGCGUAUGUGUGUAGACUGUCGUGCUAUUAAUAACAUCACUAUUCGUUAUCGAUAUCAUAUACCACGCCUUGAUGAUAUGCUAGAUGAGCUUAGUGGUGCCAUUAUUUUCACUAAGAUUGAUUUGCGUAGUGGUUACCACCAGAUUAGAAUGAAACUGGGUGAUGAAUGGAAAACAGCUUUUAAAACGAAAUUUGGUUUAUAUGAAUGGUUGGUUAUGUCGUUUGGAUUGACUAAUACUCCCAGCACUUUUAUGCAAGUGAUGAAUGAAGUUCUGAGGCCCUUCAUAGGAUUGUUUGUGGUUGUUUAUUUUGAUGAUAUCCUUAUUUACAGCAAAUCUAAGAAAGAGCAUUUGGAACAUUUAAGUGUUGUUUUUGAUGCAUUGCGUGGUGCCCAGUUAUUUGCUAACAUGAAAAAAUGCAUCUUUUGCACACGACGUGUCUCGUUUCUUGGUUAUGUUGUUACUCCACAGGGCAUUGAGGUGGAUAGCAGCAAGAUUGCUGCCAUUCGGGAGUGGCCUACACCGACGACGGUCACACAAAUUCGGAACUUUCUUGGACUUGCCGGUUUCUACCGCAGAUUUGUUCAUGAUUUUAGCUCCAUUGCAGCGCCUCUACAUGAGCUCACAAAGAAAGAUGUGUCGUUUGAUUGGCGUGAUUCGCAGGAGGUAGCGUUCAGCACUUUGAAAGAUAAGUUAACCCAAGCUCCCUUAUUGCAAUUGCCUGAUUUUAAUAAAGUGUUUGAGCUUGAAUGCGAUGCUAGCGGUAUUGGGCUAGGUGCUAUUUUGUUACAAGAAGGAAAACCAGUUGCUUAUUUUAGUGAAAAAUUAAGCGGUGCUAGUCUGAAAUACUCUACUUAUGAUAAGGAGCUUUACGCUUUAGUGCGCACUUUGCAUACAUGGCAGCACUAUCUUUGGCAUCGUGAGUUCAUAAUUCAUUCUGAUCAUGAGGCUUUAAAACAUAUUCGUACCCAAACAAAUCUGAACCGUCGUCAUGCUAAAUGGGUAGAAUUCAUUGAGUCUUUUCCUUACAUUAUUAAACACAAGAACAGGAAGGACAAUGUUAUUGCUGAUGCUUUGUCUCGUCGCUAUACCAUGCUGUCACAGUUAGAUUUUAAAAUCUUUGGUUUGCACACUGUGAAAUAUCAAUAUGUUUACGAUGCUGAUUUUAAAGAUGCUUUUGGCCAUUGUAUUAAUGGGAAACCAUGGGGCAAAUUUCACAUAGAGGAUGGGUUCCUGUUUCGCGCUAACAAGCUGUGUGUUCCAGCUAGCUCAGUUCGUCUUUUGUUGUUACAGGAUGCGCAUGGAGGCGGUCUCAUGGGGCACUUUGGCGUCUACAAGACACAUGAGGUGUUGGCUGCCCACUUCUUUUGGCCUCGGAUGCGCGCUGAUGUUGAGCGCCUUGUUGCACGCUGCACUACUUAUCAGAAAGCUAAGUCACGGUUGAACAACCAUGGUUUGUAUAUGCCUUUGCCUGUUCCUACUUCCCCUUGGAUUGAUAUUUCGAUGGAUUUUGUUUUGGGAUUGUCUAGAACUAAGAAGGGGAGGGAUAGCAUUUUUGUGGUUGUUGAUCGAUUCUCCAAAAUGGCUCAUUUCAUACCUUGUCAUAAGACUGAUGAUGCUAGCAAUGUUGCUGAAUUGUUUUUUAGAGAGAUUAUUCGUUUGCACAGUAUUCCCAAUACAAUAGUUUCGGAUCGUGAUGCUAAGUUUCUCAGUCAUUUUUGGAGAUCUCUGUGGAAUAAAUUGGGAACUAAAUUGCUGUUUAGCACCACUUGUCACCCUCAGACUGAUGGUCAAACUGAGAUAGUUAAUCGAACUUUGUCUACCAUGCUUAGGUCUGUUUUAGACAAAAAUUUGAAACGUUGGGAGGAUUGUUUGCCUCAUGUUGAGUUUGCUUAUAAUCAUGCAACACAUUCUUCUACAAAGAUGUGCCCUUUUCAAAUUGUUUAUGGUUACAUUCCUAGGGCGCCUAUUGCUUUGUUUUCGCUUGAUGCUGCGAACGCCCCACACAUAGAUGUUGUUGCACAUGUUGAACAAAUGAUUAACCUCCAUGAACAAACUCAACAAAACAUUGCUGCUACUAAUGCAAAAAAUCAGGUUGUUGGUAGUAAAGGAAGAAAACUUGUUACUUUUGAGCCAGGUGAUAUGGUUUGGUUGCACUUGAGAAAGGAUCGGUUUCAUACUUUGCGCCGUUCUAAAUUAAUGCCUCGUGUUGCUGGUCCUUUUAAGGUGCUAACAAAGAUUAAUGAUAAUGCUUAUAUCCUUGACCUGCCUACGGAAUUUGGUGUUUCCACUAGUUUUAAUGUUGCAGAUUUGAAACCAUAUAUGGCCGAGGAUGAGGAGUUGCCGUCGAGGACGACUUCACUUCAAGAAGGGGAGGAGGAUGAGGACAUCACUAUGAGUACGACUACAGCAGCAGCACCUCCACAUCAAGCGCCACUUCCUUCAUUAGCUGGGCCAAUCACUCGAGCCCGUGCCAGAGAUCUUAACUUCGUCAUGCUACUGAAGAAUGAGGGCCCAGAAGAAUAGACGACCAGCCCAACUGCGGUCCAUAGUGGACGACCUAGGGUUGGCCGCCCCUAGGGGCUGCGCCCCCUCUCUCUAUUUAUCCAGGAGUUGCGCCUCCUUUGUUCUUCGAGUUUUGUUUUACAUCUAGCUUUAGCUACCCCAGAACACGCACAAAUACGUGUUGUCCUCUGUGAUUCAGAACUCCACCUCGAGUGAUAUUAAGAUUGCUCGCAUCUUUUUCUUGUUCGUUUUUCGAUUAUGCACAGGAAACGAUCUUCGUGAUCAGGUCGAUCUCGCAUCAGCAAGGUCGGUAACCAUUGAGAGUUGGUUCAGCGAUUGCAUUGGCGCUUCGGGUUCGCUCGUCGUAGUCAGAUCGUGAGGGUCUACUUCCACCAAAUCGGAAUUAUCUCCACUCACCGAAAGAUCGGGCACUCCAGCUCUAUCACAGGUGAAUCCUUCACUGAACCAGAUUUCAGAGCCACCAUAUAUAUAGCAAACGUCCCUAGACAUGGCCAACAUGCAGUGAAGCAGUGUGUCCGAGAGCGCCAGCAACAUAUGGACUUCAACACGUGGCUAACAUGCUCUCAUACCCCACCAGUACACAACCUUGGUUAGGACACUGAACCUGGUCCAUUUUCUCAACACAAAUAUCAGUUGGGGAUAUGCUUUAAUAUGUCCAAGAACAGGAUAUUCUUUCCAGCUGAGGGUGGGUUCUAGACCUCAGUUAUACCCUCCACACUUAUCUCAACUAUACACAUACAUGUAUCUCUUUUGUCCCCUACUGCAGACAGCAGACCAACCAAUCAAUUCUCCACUAUUUACUGCUCCAAAAUAGUCCAAAUUAGAUAUUUUUGGUGGAGAGUAGCCUCAAAGUAUCAGUCAUGCACUUCCCCCAUAUGACAGCUUAAUAUGUCAGUGGAGCACAGCAAAGAAAAAGAUUCUUCUUUAGUUACACCUCCACACACUGAAUCACUUCAUCAACCUGCUGCCCCAUUUAAUUCCUCCCAGUUCAGACCCUCUGAUCUUUCAAUUUUUCAUAGCAACAGACCAUGCUCCCUUCACAAAAGUUGUUCUCUAUACAUAGUUCUACCAACUUGGUAUAGAAAUCACAGGUUGAAAAUAUUUAGAGCAAGAGUUAUUGCAAUCCAAAGUUAAGCAAAACACUCAAAAUUCAGUUUCGGAUUUAUUAAACAGCACAAUACUAGGUCUGACAGAGAGUUUUGUCACCCCUUUUUCUCUAGAUUACACACAGUAACAAGUCAAUCCUUUGCAUAAAAGUUGUUCCCCUUCAUAUGGACUUUGACUUUACUACAGAACUCGUAACCAAAAUCUCCAUAGAUUAAUUAUCAUAGAGAUCCAAACUGGGCAACUUGCUGCCAUUCAGGGUUCAGAACUGAAUUAAAAUUCAGUUAUUAACCAACCUGACAAUCCAAUCUUUGAGCAACUAUUUCUGCACUUUUUGUAUGGGAUCAGGUCCACCACCCUAUAAGAAAGUUGUUCGACUGGUCUUCACUUAUUCUACAAACACCACAGCACAAAACCUUAUAGAAUAGCCACAAAUAGGCUUCAAAACUGAUAUCAAAACACUGAAAUUCAGUUACUGUUUCCAAUCUGAAUAUUCAGAAACACAGCAGCACCACUUUGAACCACUCUUUUUCUUGGGUUCCAAUUGUUUCUAGGGGCAAGUUUCUUAAUAAAGUUUAUACUCCUAUAGUUCCUCUACAAGUUUUAUAUAAUGACCAAUAACAAAAGCCUCUUGGAUCCCAAACUACAAUAGCCCAAAGUUUGCUCCAAUUGCUGAAAUUCAGACUCUGUCUGAAAUCCCCACUUUCAGACAGCUCUACUUUAGGCCAGCUUUUAUCUAUGUUCCAAAUAGCUUUAGGGCUAAGUGUAUUAACAAAACUUAUACUCCUCAUGUAUCUCUAUAACUUUGUUAUAAUGAUCAUCUUCAAACAGUUUAUAGAUCAAAUGUUAUGAGGACCCAAAAACAACUAGUUGAUAUUAUUUUCAGCAAACUUCAAAUCUGAUUCAAAACUGAAUUAAACUUUUUACUCCAACUUUUCCUCUAAAACUUGGAAUUCUCCAUACAUAAAAGUUGUUCAACUUACCAAAAUCUACAACUUUGAUAUAUGGACAACUAGCAAAUUCUCUCUAGAUUUAAAACUCCACUUUUGGGCUAGUUGAGGGUUUCAAAUGUGACUCCUUCUCAUCUAGUGAUUUAUCAACUCAAUCCAUACUUCUAAAAGCCAAGUGACUCCCCUUAAUCUCAAAUCCAACUCUAGUAUAUGAAGCUCAUGUCCAAAGUGUCCUUGGUUUAGGAGUUGUUUUGUUUAUCCACAAUUCCAAGCAAGGUUUUGAAAUCUCACUUAAGGUUUUUAAUGUUAAUCCAGUUCCUCAAUUAAUUCUUCCACUCAACCCACCUUUGAAAGCAAAGUAUUACCUUUAAUACUUCAAAUUCCAAGCCAACUUAUUACUUGCUCAAGAGAUGACUUCUCUUCCCAUGUCUUAAGCAAAGUUCUUAAUCUGAGCCCUAUACUCUAAUAGGGCAACACCAUAUUCACUAAAAAAUUUUGACCUAGUGAAUGCAUUCUAGGUAUAUCAAACAAGAUAAUACAAAUGCUUAUGAUGACAUGUCAGAGUUUUAGUUAACGUAACACCAGGGGUGUUACAAAGAUCUACGUGGUUGGAAUAUUAAAUUAUGAAUUGAUUAUUGUACAUCCAAUGAGAAAAUAUACUCUAAAUAAUCAAUUCAACCUUAACCUAGAUUAUACUUGACUAGAGAUCAUGUUUUAACCACAUUAUGAUUAUGGUUGGGUUAGUUUUGAUUUAGCAGAGUUAAUCUAGUAGACAUAGGAUGAAUAAAUUUCUAACUAUAAAAUCAUGCAAUAUGAUAUAAUUAAUGUUGUUACUGCGUAGAUAAUAUUUUUAUGAAGCAAACGUAACUGGAACGGAUUAAAUCGGAGUUAAGACGCAGAAGAUAUGAUUUUUUCUAAGGUUUUCGGGUUUAUCUUAUAGUUAAAAAUCAAUUUCUUGAUUUAUUCCAAGAAUUACCAAUGUCUCUGGAUGGCGGGUACAAUUUUCUAGGAACGCAAGGGCCAAAGUGUUAAAAACAGGGCCUAAUUGCAAGGUUCUUAGAACUGCCUAGCACUGCGGGUUGUUUAGAGAAAAACUCGGGGGGUCUUUGGAGCAAAGAUGUCAGCCGAAGGGUAAUGAGCCAACUGGGGUCGCCCGAUGAAGGAUCAAGGGCCGAGAUUAUACAGCGAAUCGGUAUGCAACCGCGUCCGCCCGAUCCAUAUCUAACGAUCCAGAUCACUCUAGCCGAAGCGUUAGCCACCAUUUAAUCUGGGUCGCCAGCAGCCAGAUCAAUGGUCGGGAUCUAAACACCGAAGAGGUAUGCCCCGUUCUAAUCUCCACCGUUGACUCCCAGAUCUAUGGCCAGGAAUCAUCGCCUAAGCCUAGCCGUCGAUCUCCAUCCUAACGGACGUGACAUCGUCUUGUUCCUCCCAUCGCCCAGGUAUAGGGCUGCCCGCGCGCCACACACGCGUUCGUAUCCUCCCGACGAACCGCAUGGCUGCGCAAGCAAGGGAAUUAGUUACCCGCGGUACCGCGUGCGGCGCAGCUAAAACCUACGCCCCGAGGAAACACUGAUGAAUCACAGGGACGUUCUCUUACCGUUUUCGAGGCACCAGUGUAGUUGUCCACGGAGACUGGUGGCGCGCCGGAUCUCUUGACGUCGACAACGAGGCACCCGGUCUCCGACACAGUGACCCCGUGGGCGAGUCCUCGCGUAGUGCAAGGAUGCACCAUUGUCUGGCACUGCGUGAAGGUUGCGGACGAGCUCAAUUCUCACCCGCGAAUGGACCCACGUCCUUCUACCCUUGUUUCUCUCUCUUAAUGGCUGCAAUCCAAGCAGCGCACACCCGCCGCUUUUGCUCCAGGUCGACCGAGACGGCCAACAGUUAGGACCAUCCAAUUUAUGGGCAAGCAGAGC